AACGAACGCUGGCGGCAUGCCUAACACAUGCAAGUCGAACGAGACCUUCGGGUCUAGUGGCGCACGGGUGCGUAACGCGUGGGAACCUGCCCUUAGGUUCGGAAUAACUCCCCGAAAGGGGUGCUAAUACCGGAUAAUGUCUUCGGACCAAAGAUUUAUCGCCUUUGGAUGGGCCCGCGUUGGAUUAGCUAGUUGGUAGGGUAAAAGCCUACCAAGGCGACGAUGCAUAGCUGGUCGGAGAGGAUGAUCAGCCACACUGGGAAUGAGACACGGCCCAGAAUCCGACGGGAGGGAGCAGUGGGGAAUAUUGGAGAAUGGGCGAAAGCCUGAUACAGCAACGUCGGGUGAGUGAUGAAGGCCUUAGGGUUGUAAAGCUCUUUUACCCGGGAUGAUAAUGACAGUACCGGGAGAAUAAGCUCCGGCUAACUACGUG
rnacentral:rRNA from 1 species